GAACCCCGUCAGGUCCGGAAGGAAGCAGCGGUAAGU
rnacentral:SRP_RNA from 1 species